rnacentral:lncRNA from 1 species
UCGAUUUCCUGAUUGGGGAAAAUAGAACUCGCCAAAGGCGAGGAGUAUAUAAAGUCUACAAAAAUUGACUUUGUGCAUACGAUACAUGUGAAGCAACACACCAAUCAUUUCACAAGUUACUUCUUUUCCUCUAAACAACAUCAAUGUAUCACAUUCAUCAUUUUCAUAUUCUUUCAAAGACUCACCUACUAUUGGUAGUCCUAUAGCUAAACAUACAUCACUUGGAGUAAAAUUAACUAUCCUACCUCUAAUCCUAAAUCCCCCACGACGUCCA